rnacentral:rRNA from 1 species
AGACUUUGAUCCUGGCUCAGAUUGAACGCUGGCGGCAGGCCUAACACAUGCAAGUCGAGCGGAUGAAGAGAGCUUGCUCUCUGAUUCAGCGGCGGACGGGUGAGUAAUGCCUAGGAAUCUGCCUGGUAGUGGGGGACAACGUUUCGAAAGGAACGCUAAUACCGCAUACGUCCUACGGGAGAAAGCAGGGGACCUUCGGGCCUUGCGCUAUCAGAUGAGCCUAGGUCGGAUUAGCUAGUAGGUGAGGUAAUGGCUCACCUAGGCGACGAUCCGUAACUGGUCUGAGAGGAUGAUCAGUCACACUGGAACUGAGACACGGUCCAGACUCCUACGGGAGGCAGCAGUGGGGAAUAUUGGACAAUGGGCGAAAGCCUGAUCCAGCCAUGCCGCGUGUGUGAAGAAGGUCUUCGGAUUGUAAAGCACUUUAAGUUGGGAGGAAGGGCAGUAAGUUAAUACCUUGCUGUUUUGACGUUACCAACAGAAUAAGCACCGGCUAACUUCGUGCCAGCAGCCGCGGUAAUACGAAGGGUGCAAGCGUUAAUCGGAAUUACUGGGCGUAAAGCGCGCGUAGGUGGUUCAGCAAGUUGGAGGUGAAAUCCCCGGGCUCAACCUGGGAACUGCCUCCAAAACUACUGAGCUAGAGUACGGUAGAGGGUAGUGGAAUUUCCUGUGUAGCGGUGAAAUGCGUAGAUAUAGGAAGGAACAAAAGUGGCGAAGGCGACUACCUGGACUGAUACUGACACUGAGGUGCGA